AUGGUGCCGGCGAAGGGGUGGAGCCGGAGGGUCGGGAGCGCGCGGUCGUUCGUGGGGAACGCGCUGGGCGGCGUCCGCGGGUGGACCAACGUCGCCUCCUGGGCCGUCGCCGGGACCCUCGCCUACUACCUCUGGGUCAGACCCGCGCGCCAGCUCCAGAAGGAGCAGCAGGAACGAGCUGCUCUAGCUGCUGCCUCGGAUCCAUACCGUUAUGUCGAGAAACGGAAACCAAUUCCUGACCCGCAGGACACUGGCCUAACUUAUGGGAAGAAGAAGGAUCCUCCGAAGUCUGACAACUAG
rnacentral:rRNA from 1 species